rnacentral:rRNA from 1 species
AACGCGAAGAACCUUACCAGCCUUUGACAUCCCGGUCGCGAGCACCAGAGAUGGAGCUCUUCAGUUCGGCUGGACCGGAGACAGGUGCUGCAUGGCUGUCGUCAGCUCGUGUCGUGAGAUGUUGGGUUAAGUCCCGCAACGAGCGCAACCCUCGCCCUUAGUUGCCAUCAUUUAGUUGGGCACUCUAAGGGGACUGCCGGUGAUAAGCCGGAGGAAGGUGGGGAUGACGUCAAGUCCUCAUGGCCCUUACAGGCUGGGCUACACACGUGCUACAAUGGCGGUGACAGAGGGACGCAAAGGAGUAAUUCUUCGCAAAUCUCAAAAAGCCGUCUCAGUUCGGAUUGUGCUCUGCAACUCGAGCACAUGAAGUUGGAAUCGCUAGUAAUCGCAGAUCAGCACGCUGCGGUGAAUACGUUCCCGGGCCUUGUA